rnacentral:rRNA from 1 species
AUUGAACGCUGGCGGCAUGCCUUACACAUGCAAGUCGAAUGGUAACAGGUCUUCGGAUGCUGACGAGUGGCGAACGGGUGAGUAAUACAUCGGAACGUGCCCGAUCGUGGGGGAUAACGAAGCGAAAGCUUUGCUAAUACCGCAUAAGAUCUACGGAUGAAAGCAGGGGACCGCAAGGCCUUGCGCGAACGGAGCGGCCGAUGGCAGAUUAGGUAGUUGGUGGGAUAAAAGCUUACCAAGCCGACGAUCUGUAGCUGGUCUGAGAGGACGACCAGCCACACUGGGACUGAGACACGGCCCAGACUCCUACGGGAGGCAGCAGUGGGGAAUUUUGGACAAUGGGCGAAAGCCUGAUCCAGCCAUGCCGCGUGCAGGAUGAAGGCCUUCGGGUUGUAAACUGCUUUUGUACGGAACGAAAAGACUCUUUCUAAUAAAGAGGGUCCAUGACGGUACCGUAAGAAUAAGCACCGGCUAACUACGUGCCAGCAGCCGCGGUAAUAC